AUGCGCGCAGAUGUGCGGGCGCUGCUCGGGGACGACGCCGCGUACGAGGCCGCGGCCGCUGAGGCCUACCCGGAGUACAACAAGACGCACCUCGUCUCCCUCGAGCUCCCCGACCGCAGCGGCGAUAUAAUCAUCACAACUUAUGGGGAGAUUGACAGGAACAACUAUCUGGACCCUAGGACCGCACAAAUUGCUACCGUGGACCAUGUUAAGCAGACUUGUACAAAAUUGAGGCCUGCUACAGAUGAGGAGCUUCCUUCAGGAUAUAUUGAAGAAUUUAGGAAUGCUAUAGAUUAUGAAGUGUCCAAUUAUGUUGGUGAAGCUUAUCCAAAAGGUGUUUCUGCCGUUUAUUGUACCAAUGGAAAGGAUGUAGAGGAACCAGGAGCUGAUUUUGGUUUGGCAGUAGUUAUUUCUGCUGCUAAACGAAGCCCACGAAACUUUUGCAAUGGCAGCUGGCGUUCCAUUUGGACUUUGGAAUUCAGUUAUGCGUUUCAACUUGUAGAAAUUAAAGGAAAGAUACAGGUAGAUGCUCAUUAUUUUGAAGAGGGAAAUGUGCAGCUGGAUACUGACGUUGAUUGCAAGGACUCCACAAUAAUGCAGUCGCCUGAAGACACUGGACACGCAGUCGCUAACAUCAUUCGGCAUCACGAGUCUGAGUAUUUUUCAUCUCUCGAGGAAUCAUACUUGAAUCUCUCCGAUGCAACGUUUAAGGAUCUCCGGAGGAAACUUCCAGUUACCCGCACCCUUUUCCCAUGGCAUAACACGCAUGCCAUCACCCUCACGCGGGACCUCGCCAAAGAGCUAGGGAUAGGGAAAGGAAGCCAUGUCACUAGGUAG
rnacentral:rRNA from 1 species